ensembl:lncRNA
CUGGGGUUUGUUUGGUGCCAAGGGCCAGGUUACACAACAGCAGCCACGUCUGAACAGCAGCCGAGGAGGGGAGGUGGUGGUGUUUUUUUUUUGUGUGUGUUUUUGUUUGGUUCCUGCUUUGUUUUGACUCCAACAUGUCCACAUGUCUGUGGGCCAGGAGAGGGAGAGCGGAGGAGGAGCUCGCUGGGCAGUGGGCAGUGUUUAUAGCCCUCACUCCCAAAGCCCUCAGUCCUCGCAUGCAAACAGCACGUGGUUCCAGCUCCUCUCAAAACAGAAAAGAAAAGAAAGAAAAAACACCUGGAUCUUUUUAUGUGGACACUCACCACGACCUGACAGUUGCAAAAUGUGCAAGACAGACGUUCGAGCACUGGUGCUUUUGGAUGAGGACACAGAGGAGGAGGAGGAGGAGGUGGUGGAGGUGUCCGAAGUGAAUCUCCUCACAUUAACCUCAGACUCUUCAGGACAACAGGGCAGGAAUGAUGUGUCUGGCAUUGGAGAGCACAUUAGACCCACAUCAUGGGGAUGAAAGAGUUAAUGCGGUAUGGAUUUCUACCUGUGUGGGAGAGAGGCAUGGGUAGGAUGAAAAUGAGAAGGAAGACUGUAGGAAUGGAUGAAAGGACCUGACAGGAGGAAAAAAAACUAAGUGUUGAAAUGAGAUGACUAAUUAUGUGUGGGAGGUAAGUCUGUCCCUUAUUAUAAAGCCAAAAACAGGGCAAAAUAAAAAGUAAAAACUCUCGUUGAACAUCUGCAUUGCACAGAGGGGGCAACAAAUGAAUAGAGACAUGCAUCAGUUUGCUUUCCAUCUGAAAUAUUACCCAAAAGGCUUUGUCACCUUUUUCAUAGAGAAUGUUUAGUGAAGAUGAGCAGCAACAAUCCCAUACGAUUCGACUUAUUUUUGUAUACUUUGUUACUUUUGUACACAGAUCAGGCAGGAGUUUGGACAGGAGAAAUACGUGUCACUUUGUGAGAGAGAUAGACAGACAGACAGACAGACAGACAGACAGACAGACCGACAACCAGGAAGAGAAAUAAAACGUGUCAAAUAAAAAGUACAUGUGAUUUGUGUUUUGCAGCUUUCUUACUACUGACUACAGAAACCCAAAGCCACUGCUGAUAAAAAGUCUCUCGGCACUCUUUCCAGCCAGACACAUAAAGCCCUGGAGAUCUGAUGGGACUGCGAGGACAUACCCCAAAUGUAUCCUGGCAAAAUGGAACCUCAUGGUGUCCUGCUGAUCAAGCAACACAGUGCAGAGUAAACCUGUGUAAGAGCCCUCCUUCCCCAGCUCUUGGCCCUGAACAGUAAGAGUUUACAUGCUGUGGAGGCUGUUCAGCAGCAUGUACUCCCUUACAGUGCAAGGACUGGAGCCCCUCUCCCAAGAGACUCGGGUCACAGCAGACCUGAGAGUUGGACACGACAGCCGGAGACAGAGUUUGUGCUUACUUUUUUUAUUAGUUGUGCUGAAGUUUUACAUUGAAGGUAUGAAUCACAUCAUAUGUGUCUCAUCAAUGAGGUUGUUUUUGUUUUGUUUUUGUUUUAUUAAAAAAACAAACAAACAUUUCUUUCAUCUCUUUAUUUAAUUGUAUCUUAUGUCUAACUGGACCACGACACACCUGAGUGGACAGUACCCUGUGAAGUGUGGUCGAACACGCUGACAGAUUGACCUUUUUCUCUUAUGCAGAGGAUUUGGCCCUGUUGGACAACCUGUGGUGCUUCACUGAGUCCCUCUUCUCUUCCUGACCCUUUCUCACUGUUCUGCUGUGAAGAUCAGCAGCUAAGCUCUGAUGUCCAACAGAAUGUGUGUUUUGCACACUGGUCCUCAGAAUGGAAUGAAACUGUGGAAUAACACAGCCCUCUGUGGGAGUUGUCUGUCCUGUAAGAAAUGGACAGCUGACCCAUUAACCUAUCAGUGAGUCUCUAUCUGGUAAGUCAACAUGUAAAAUGAGUUAUGAGUGGAUGAACCCAUCACAGGCUCUGUGUGCCUCUGGUCAUCUGUGGCAGCAUUUUCAAUGUGAUUCUGAAGGCUCUGCUGUGCGCUGCCACAGAGCAUAGAAGAGCCUUUCUCUUUAUUACCUAUCAUAUUUACCAACUUGUUUCUUGUAGCUUUAAAAAGCAGAUUAAUUAAAUGGCUACAGCACCAUAGCGGCACCUGAGUUCUAACCAAGAGCAACCAGUAAAGCAGGCUAUUAACAAUUUCCUUCUCAUUGUGUGCAUGUUACUUCAAGAAUGACACACCUGUACUGUUGCAUUUAGAACUUUCACUACAUAUAACAUACAGAGUUUCGAACAAAGCAGAAAAAAAGAACAAUGCCAGCAAAAUUUUGAAUCCAAAUUUCGUUGUAUGCAAAUAAAAUGACAAUAAAGGCUUAUAUAUUCUAUUUUCUAAAACUAAUAUAGAAUAGCUCCAUCACUGUGAUGUCUGCCCCUUAGCGACCAUGGCUGUAGACUGUUACCAAUGGUGUCGUUGCUACAGUAACAAUCUAAAGCCACGGUAGCCAUGGCGACAGCAGCAGGGGGAAAAAAUGGGGGUUCGCCGUGGAAACUGUGGAAGAGGCGAUCUGAUUGGCUGAGCCGUCGUUGAGCUUGCAUGUACGCCAAUGCAGUGGUUUCCUGGAGAGUCAUCGCUGUUCCUUCUCAGUUGUUUGCUUCUUUUAUCUGACCCUCAAAGCACCGGAGAUGCGAGCGAGCGCACGUGGACACAACUGCUCCGCAGGCCUUCCCACGCUGCGUUCUGGGCUUGUAGAGGCUUGACAGACAUCAGUAGCCAUGACUGUAGACUGUUACUGUACUUUCACCGAGUCAUACCAGUAAGCAGUCUAGAGCCAAGGUGUUGAUGCACUGUCCUUAAAGAUGUAAGUAGUGCUCUCAUAGCAAUCUCUCUCAUCAGUGCAUUUACCUAAAAAGACUUUAAGAAUUAUUACAUUAUGUUGGUCGGUGAUAUGGCUAGAUAGGUAGCGGGUGACUUAGCCUACGUAGCCUAUCAUCAACCCAGGAUAUAUUUUUACAGCAAAUCAUUCACACAAAGUCAAGACUGCUGUGACUGCAGUUAAGUAACAGAUACACUCAAAUGCACAACGGUCAGUCAAAUUACGGUGGUCAGAGUCAGAGACCAACGUAGUGACCCAGUUCUGGUGCCAGGUAUUGAUUGCGGUGCAGCUUAUCUGUGACUGACUCCGUAACAGGAUAUUGAGUGCCAGUGAUAUCUUAUGCAAGAUGAAUUGAGUAACACACUUUGACGUCAAAGCUUCCGAAUUGUAUGUAUAAUGACACCAUAAACCUAUUUCCAUUAAGACUCGACGGCUACAAGAGCCUGUUGAUUCUAAACGCCGGAACAGCAGUACGUGAACGUAUACUACUACGACCGGAAGAGUGUGUGUACAGUAGCAGCUUCUCAAACAGUUCAUGCGUUUUAUUAAUAAUUUAAAAAACGUCUCGCAAUCUUAAUUUUCUAAUGGGGGUUCGUUCGCUGUCCAUGGUGCUAACUACCGUAAGUACUGUGCUAAGCGCAAUCCGUCUUUUUAUGCAAAGGAUUGAAAAUCAGAAAAUCAGGUUUCCAACUCGUGAAUGAAACCUCUAUCUUAAGCCUGCGUCUUAAACUGCAUUUUUAGCAGCUGAAGAGCAGGCAGUGUGUAAACAUGCUUCCAAGGCCAAGCCAUUUCCCUUGGUUAAAGUGACAGUGAUGAGAGUGAACUUUCAGCACCUUGGACAGAUGCAGACUUGUCCAACAUUACAUCGACACUGAUCUUUUUAUGCUCUAUGUAAUAGCAAUGUUGGGCAGUUAGUGUAAGCGACGAAUAACUUAUACCUUGAAAAUUCAAAGAAUUCAAAGUUUAGAUAUCCGAUUAGCAUUGAAGAGCAUCGCAGAAAAUACUCUAAUUCGAAUGCAACCCCUCAGAGGUGUCAGAUAGAAGACAUCUGCGAGCACAAGAGCAACUGCAAGAGACAUCAGGGCUGAUGCGGGGUGGUUGGAGAAAACAAUGAACACCCGGAGCAUGUGCAUUAGUAUUCUGCGCACCACACUCGGAGAUGCCCAGGGGAUAUUGGAAUGUUCCCCACGCACAGCCCACCCCCACAUCCCAGCCCACUGCCAGCGAGAUCGCAAUGCGGGUGAUGGACAGUUGCGCUGCCUAGGUGCGCUGCCUCUUUAAAGGGUCCCGCCGGGCGAUUGGAAAUCGUCGACAUGUGCGCAGUAGUGACGCAGGAUUGACUUCAUCUCCAAGUACGUCACAACAUUGAAAUUUCAAAGGCAAAGGAGAAAGGGGCGCUGGGAAUGAAGUGAUUUGAUUAUUCCGAACGCCAUAGGAUGUUGGUGUUCAGACCUGCCAGUCAAAUGCGCCCAAAUAUUUCAAUUGCAAGACAUUUUUUUUAAAUGUGUCGAUUUUGGUGAUUCUGUCCACGAAGUAAAUAGAAGUCUACUCGUUUCCGUUAUACAAUUUAAACACGGAGACUACAUGUUAAUACUAAACUGCAAAAACUGACAAGUAUGUGAGAACUAAAGACACGAUUUAUCACAGGCUUCAAUUUGACAAAAACUUAACUGCCCUGUUUAAGUUAAGCUAUCAUAACAGUUUCACGUUGUUUUUCUCGAUAAUAUUAUGUUGUAGCCAAGUAAUAAGGAAAGUAUUAAUUGAAAUGUAAUUGUUCGAGAUUAAUCCUCAUCUAAUCACAAGUAAUUACUCGUCGGAAUGGCACCGAGUAAAGCAAAAAAAAAAAAUACAUCUGGCUGGGAUUUGUUUUAUUAAUAACCCAGACUGCCUGUCAUCUACAGCAAGAAUCUACACUAAAUGUGCACCCUGACCCAUUUUCGACGAACCAAAAUGACUUAGAUAUUUCUGAGGUAAAUAAUUAUCCUCAGACACACACCCGUGUGGCAUGUAACAUGCAAAGCCCACCGACUCAAAUCUGGAUCUGGCGUUCUCAGUCCUGUCGGUACCCAUGUGCGCUAAAGUGAGUCACACUGCAGCAACUUUCAGCCCCCUUAUCAGCCACCGUACAUUCACUAAAAGGCCCGCAUAUGGAAUUAAAGUCGUGACAUUAUUACCAUAAUCAAACAACUUUUUAAAUCAUCAUAGUUCGUCGAUUCAUGACGAUGUUUAUCCAAUCCUAACGCUGCUGUGAUGGCAUUCUUUGGCGAGGAAUAACAGACAUACAGGUAAGGUAAAAGGCAUGGUAUUUCAAAGUUGAAGCCAAUAUAAAGAGAAACGUACCUGAUUUAAAGCAAUGUCCAGUUCAACACCUCUUGUCAUUAUUUGUCACCAGUCGCAAGACUCGUCAGUAAAUAUUGAAGUUAAGCCUGACUCCUACAUCAUGCUAGAAAUAUUUAUGAGAAAGAGGCUAACCAAGUAGCCUACUAAUCGUCUACUAUCUAGGCUACUGCUAUCAGAAUUGUCCCUUCUGUUUUAUCCUCUGACACCCUUCGUAUCAUAUACACUAGUGAAAUUUAGCGGGCUCUCCCAUCGUUGGCUUUUUAUAGACAUGCCCGUAGUAGUAAUGGGUGAGGGAGGGGGGACUCAUUCAUUGAAAAACAUCACCUACAUUGGGCUUGUACGUGGACGUCUACGUCACUACGGCACUACGUCACUGAGGAAAUGCAACGGGAGGACGCCAGGGUUCCGUGUGGAGCCAGAGAGCAUAACAAAAUGCGUAAAGAAGCUCACGACUCAAGCGCAAUAAUGCCCAAGGAUGAUUUACUGAGUGAUGUGUUGAGUAUUCCUUUUGAUAAAUCAUUUAUAUAUAAAUCAUUGGAGGGAAUUCAGUAUACAGUACGCAAUAUCGAUCUUAAAGACAAUGCGCGUAAUGGCGAAAUGUGCGUGAUAUGUACAGAUGCCAAUAUUUUCAAGGAAUUUUCACAUUGCUGUGGGCCACAUUUGUGUUCAGUUUGCAGUAGGUCCACUAAUUAGUACGCUGGAAAUGUUUAAGACAUAACAUGAGGGUUUACUUAAUUGUUUGGUAAUUCAAUUCGACAUUAUUUUUGUCUACAUCAUACAUAUUUUAAACAUCCGCCGAUUAAAAAGAUAGCCCAUAUGUAUUCAUUCAUCCACUGAUGUGUAAUCAAAUCAGAUGUUGAAUCAUAUCAGAAAACAGAAUAUUGUUGAAACAUAUUGUCGGAAAAUAGUGACAGACAUCAAUAUCGCAUAAUUGGUGCUCACAAUAGUUAUUACACCGCUCUGUAUCCAGACAAUCGCACUCGCGAUGAAUCACGGCUGCGAGAGCCGAUUGCCUUUCAGCCCUUGUUCGCAAUGCCAG